GGUGGAAAUCGCCGAUCUGUGUGAAGGGAUAUAUGGAACAGAAUGUGGAAGAUCUUACACGUGGAAGAUGCUGGACGGGGAAGAUGGAGCGACGUACAACAUGAAUGGGGCGGGAAGAAGGUCUUUGGUUCAGUGGGUUUGGAACCCUAUUCUGAAUAAUUGCUCUGGAUGAAUCAUAAUUCAAAUUUAAUGGAUCAAGAAUUACGCUACUGCAGGAUUGGUGUUAUUGAAUUCUCCUAUUGGCAUCCAUGAAAUAAUAUGUCUGACCAUUUAAAUCAUCAAACAAACACUGAUUGAAACUUCGUUCCACAAUACUCAAACAUCUACUCAUGAAGCACGGCACAACCACACCAAGUAACUUUUGUCAGCGAAAUAAAGCAUUUGCAAUUUGCAAUUCAACCGCAAACCUAUGGACAUCAUAGAAAGAAAGAGAAAGG